GCGCCCGUAGCUCAACCGGAUAGAGCACCUGCCUUCUAAGCAGGGGGUUGCAGGUUCGACUCCUGCCGGGCGCGCCA
rnacentral:tRNA from 1 species